rnacentral:rRNA from 1 species
UACGAAGGGGGCUAGCGUUGUUCGGAAUUACUGGGCGUAAAGCGCGCGCAGGCGGCUAUCCAAGUCAGUGGUGAAAGCCCGGAGCUCAACUCCGGAACUGCCAUUGAAACUGUUUAGCUUGAGGAUGAGAGAGGUGAGUGGAAUUCCCAGUGUAGAGGUGAAAUUCGUAGAUAUUGGGAAGAACACCGGUGGCGAAGGCGGCGACCUGGGCAGAUACUGACACUGAGGUGCGAAAGCGUGGGGAGCAAACAGG